rnacentral:rRNA from 1 species
GACGAACGCUGGCGGCGUGCUUAACACAUGCAAGUCGAACGGGAGUAUUGAAGAAGCUUGCUUUAGAGAUACUUUAGUGGCGGGCGGGCGAGUCACGCGUGAGGAGCUGGACGAUGCGGGGGGACAACAGAUGGAAAGGACUGGUAAUACCCCAUGAGCCGAGGGGUAACAGGAUUUAUCCGGGAAUGGAGGUACUCGCGUCCUAUUAGCUGGUAGGUAAGGUAACGGCUCACCCAGGCGAAGACGGGUAGCCGGCCUGAAAGGGCGAACGGCCAAACUGGAACGGGGAUACGGUCCAGACUCCUACGGGAGGAAGCAGUGGGGAAUAUUGGGCAAUGGGGGGAACCCUGACCCAGCGACGCCGCGUGGGUGAAGAGAUCCUUCGGGAUGUAAAGCCCUGUUGUAUGGGAAGAGCGGAAGACGGUACCAUACGAGGAAGCCCCGGCAAACUACGUGCCAGCAGCCGCGGUAA